AUGGGAACGCGAAGAACCUUACCUAGACUUGACAUCUCCUGAAUAGUGUAGAGAUACAUGAAGCCCUUCGGGGCAGGAAGACAGGUGGUGCAUGGUUGUCGUCAGCUCGUGUCGUGAGAUGUUGGGUUAAGUCCCGCAACGAGCGCAACCCUUAUUACUAGUUGCUACCAUUAAGUUGAGCACUCUAGUGAGACUGCCCGGGUUAACCGGGAGGAAGGCGGGGAUGACGUCAAAUCAUCAUGCCCCUUAUGUCUAGGGCAACACACGUGCUACAAUGGUGAGUACAGAUAGAUGCGAUACCGCAAGGUGGAGCCAAACUCUAAAACUCAUCCCAGUUCGGAUUGUAGGCUGCAACUCGCCUACAUGAAGUUGGAGUUGCUAGUAAUCGCGAAUCAGAAUGUCGCGGUGAAUACG
rnacentral:rRNA from 1 species